rfam:Schistosoma mansoni strain Puerto Rico chromosome 3, complete genome
GUCAGGAUGGCCGAGUGGUUAAGGCGUUGGACUUGAAAUCCAAUGGGGUUUCCCCGCGCAGGUUCGAACCCUGCUCCUGACG